rnacentral:rRNA from 1 species
GAUGAACGCUGGCUGCGUGCCUAAUACAUGCAAGUCGAGCGAACGGACGAGAAGCUUGCUUCUCUGAUGUUAGCGGCGGACGGGUGAGUAACACGCGGAUAACCUACCUAUAAGACUGGGAUAACUUCGGGAAACCGGAGCUAAUACCGGAUAAUAUUUUGAACCGCAUGGUUCAAAAGUGAAAGACGGUCUUGCUGUCACUUAUAGAUGGAUCCGCGCUGCAUUAGCUAGUUGGUAAGGUAACGGCUUACCAAGGCAACGAUGCAUAGCCGACCUGAGAGGGUGAUCGGCCACACUGGAACUGAGACACGGUCCAGACUCCUACGGGAGGCAGCAGUAGGGAAUCUUCCGCAAUGGGCGAAAGCCUGACGGAGCAACGCCGCGUGAGUGAUGAAGGUCUUCGGAUCGUAAAACUCUGUUAUUAGGGAAGAACAUAUGUGUAAGUAACUGCGCACAUCUUGACGGUACCUAAUCAGAAAGCCACGGCUAACUACGUGCCAGCAGCCGCGGUAAUACGUAGGUGGCAAGCGUUAUCCGGAAUUAUUGGGCGUAAAGCGCGCGUAGGCGGUUUUUUAAGUCUGAUGUGAAAGCCCACGGCUCAACCGUGGAGGGUCAUUGGAAACUGGAAAACUUGAGUGCAGAAGAGGAAAGUGGAAUUCCAUGUGUAGCGGUGAAAUGCGCAGAGAUAUGGAGGAACACCAGUGGCGAAGGCGACUUUCUGGUCUGUAACUGACGCUGAUGUGCGAAAGCGUGGGGAUCAAACAGGAUUAGAUACCCUGGUAGUCCACGCCGUAAACGAUGAGUGCUAAGUGUUAGGGGGUUUCCGCCCCUUAGUGCUGCAGCUAACGCAUUAAGCACUCCGCCUGGGGAGUACGACCGCAAGGUUGAAACUCAAAGGAAUUGACGGGGACCCGCACAAGCGGUGGAGCAUGUGGUUUAAUUCGAAGCAACGCGAAGAACCUUACCAAAUCUUGACAUCCUUUGACAACUCUAGAGAUAGAGCCUUCCCCUUCGGGGGACAAAGUGACAGGUGGUGCAUGGUUGUCGUCAGCUCGUGUCGUGAGAUGUUGGGUUAAGUCCCGCAACGAGCGCAACCCUUAAGCUUAGUUGCCAUCAUUAAGUUGGGCACUCUAAGUUGACUGCCGGUGACAAACCGGAGGAAGGUGGGGAUGACGUCAAAUCAUCAUGCCCCUUAUGAUUUGGGCUACACACGUGCUACAAUGGACAAUACAAAGGGCAGCGAAACCGCGAGGUCAAGCAAAUCCCAUAAAGUUGUUCUCAGUUCGGAUUGUAGUCUGCAACUCGACUACAUGAAGCUGGAAUCGCUAGUAAUCGUAGAUCAGCAUGCUACGGUGAAUACGUUCCCGGGUCU